rnacentral:rRNA from 1 species
UGGGGAAUAUUGGACAAUGGGCGCAAGCCUGAUCCAGCCAUGCCGCGUGAGUGAUGAAGGCCCUAGGGUUGUAAAGCUCUUUCACUGGUGAAGAUAAUGACGGCAACCGGAGAAGAAGCCUCGGCUAACUUCGUGCCAGCACCCGCGGUAAUACGAAGGGGGCUAGCGUUGUUCGGAUUUACUGGGCGUAAAGCGCACGUAGGCGGACUAUUAAGUCAGGGGUGAAAUCCCGGGGCUCAACCCCGGAACUGCCUUUGAUACUGGUAGUCUUGAGUUCGAGAGAGGUGAGUGGAAUUCCGAGUGUAGAGGUGAAAUUCGUAGAUAUUCGGAGGAACACCAGUGGCGAAGGCGGCUCACUGGCUCGAUACUGACGCUGAGGUGCGAAAGCGUGGGGAGCAAACAGG